AGACUGAUAUGACACUGUCAUAAACAUGGCAUAACAGCUCUGUUAUGAACACGAAGGAGUCUUUGUGAAUGUCUGUGACUGUUGUCAUGAAGUGUCAUUUGGUAAAUAAUUACCCUUUUAGUGCAAAGUUGACACU